UGCCUUAUAAUUGAAGGCUAGUAUGAAUGGUUUGACGAGAAUUGAGCUGUCUCUUUUCAACUAAAUAUAAUUUUAUUAAUAGGUGAAGAAGCCUAUAUUUCAUUGAAAGACAAGAAGACCCUAUCGAGCUUUAAGGAAUUUAAUAGACUCGCCAUAUAUUUAUAGAAAAACGAGACUACUAAAAACUUUGGUUGGGGCGACUGAGGAACAAAUAAAGCUUCCUCUUGAUUUAAAAUAACUUACAGGUAUUGAUCCAAUAAAUUUGAUUAAAGGAAUUAGUUACCGUAGGGAUAACAGCAUAAUCCCCUUUGAGAGUCCUUAUCGAAAAGGGGGUUUGUGACCUCGAUGUUGGACCAGAAUACCCAGAAGAUGCAGCCGUCUUCAAGGUUGGUCUGUUCGACCAUUAA
rnacentral:rRNA from 1 species